AGGACGAACGCUGGCGGCGCGCCUAACACAUGCAAGUCGAGCGAGAACCAGGGCUUGCCCUGGGGACAGCGGCGAACGGGUGCGUAACACGUGAGCAACCUGCCCCAAAGACCGGGACAACCCGAGGAAACUCGGACUAAUACCGGAUGCCCUCACCGGGCCGCAUGGUCUGGUGAGGAAAUGGAUUCCGCUUUGGGAUGGGCUCGCGGUCUAUCAGCUUGUUGGUGGGGUAACGCCUACCAAGGCGACGACGGAUAGCUGGUCUGAGAGGACGAUCAGCCACACUGGGACUGAGACACGGCCCAGACUCCUACGGGAGGCAGCAGUGGGGAAUCUUGCGCAAUGGGGGAAACCCUGACGCAGCGACGCCGCGUGCGGGAUGAAGGCCUCGGUUGUAAACCGCUUUCAGCAGGGACGAAAUUGACGGUACCUGCAGAAGAAGGCCGGCCAACUACGUGCCAGCAGCCGC
rnacentral:rRNA from 1 species